UAUGAGACUAAAUGUACCCGCCACGACCUAGGCAGUUCUCGAAGGCGCUCCUUGACGGGCAACGCGCACUCAAUACUAGAGCCUCCGCCCUGCGUCCCUCCCCAGGCUCAGACCUUCCCCUGUGGCCGUCCCCCUUCUUCCCCCUCAGCUGCUGCACGCCUCCUCCCAGGCGCGGGCAGAGAACGGCAACGCCUCCCUGUCGGCACCUCCCCCUUAAGCUGCCCGAAGCCUGCCUGCGCCCGCCUCCCCAGCGGCGCGCGACGCCCAGCGCCCCGAGGUGCGGGCCGGUGUUCUUCUAGGUCGAGGUGCGGCCCGCUAGCGAGACCGAGCCCCACUGCAUUUUCUUUUAUUUCAUUUCACUCGAGGUUUUGCACAAACUGAAGUUUUGUGGGUUAGGUUAAACUCGGGACCUCCUCGAAAAGGACCCUUUUUUUUUUUUUUCUUUCAAAAUGGCAGCCUCCAGCCGCGCACAAGUGUUAGAUCUGUACCGGGCGAUGCUGAGAGAAAGCAAGCAUUUCAGCGCCUACAAUUACAGAACUUAUGCUGUCAGGAGGAUAAGAGAUGCCUUCAGAGAAAAUAAGAAUGUAAAGGAUCCUGUAGAAAUUCAAACCUUAGUGAAUAAAGCCAAAAGAGACCUUGAGAUAAUUCGUCGACAGGUUAUGUCCUUGAAAUCAACGCCUGCUGUGGGAAUGGUGGGCAGGACACACAUUCCAAGGACAGGGGCAGCAUUGAGGAACCUCUACUUGCCAGGGUCCAGCUCACAGAGUCUGCCCUACUCAUCUUCAUCCUCUUCAGAAACGACCUGAGUGGCAGUGACACCUAAAUAUAUGUUUCCAGCCCACACUUCUCUCCAGACUACACCCUGAUCUGCCUUCCUCCUUGACGUUUCACCCGGGGUCCACAUUGGCCAACUGUAUUCGACCGACAAGCUUAUUAUUGAAAAUCAAGAGAAACCCAGGACCUAGGGAGCCAGGACCAGCCGCCACUGGCAGCUGUGGACCCCACCUUCAGCAUCCAUUUUGUGCUUGGGAUGCGGGCUCCCAACAGACCACAAGUGGCCUCUUUCUUACAUCAGCUUAAAAUAGCCUCUUGCUCUGCCCGCCCUGUAAGGAGCUGAUAAACUGAGUCUGGUUUCCAUUCUUCUUUAGUCUUUAGUGAAAAAGGAUGGCUGCCUCCUUGGUUCAAGUGUUCAAAUGAAGAGCUGGAGUUCGCUCCCAA